GUGGAGGACUACAGGGCUGAGGCCCUGGGACCGAGGGGAACUGAACUGAACCGGGUUUUAGGAGUGGAAGGGCUGCAUCUGCAGAGGGGCCCUGGGCCGGGGGUGUGGCCAAGUUACACCCAACCCGGCUAGGCCCCGCCCCUUCCUCCAAAUUGCCCACCCCCCCACGUUUCCGUGCUCAGGCGCAAGCCUUCAAAUGUUUUGCAGGUCCCACCCCAUGCGUCACUCCAUGUUCCAUCUGUGAAGGAAUCUCCAGGGCAGCUUAUUGGGAUGUAUAGCUCCUGCUCAAGGAUAUUUCUAGAUGACAGCACACUCAGCCUGCCUAAUCGUAGAAACAUGGUGGAGUGGUGAGUACAGGAGGUUGCAGAGGCCCAAGUGAUGGACUCCCACUGAUAAAUCAUCCCAGCAGUGCUGGGUAAUUUCAGCCAUGUGAUUAUCCUCCUCUAUGCUCAGUUUAAGACACUGGGGGCAACUAUAUAUGUAUAUUGAUUUGAAGAGGCUAAAUGUGAAUUUUCAGUUUUUGUUUUAGUCUCAGACUGCAUGGUAGAAGGGAACACCAGUUAGCAAAUAAAGAAUCCUGGGAAAAAUGUACUUCUUUAUUUCAUGCAUUUAUGUUAAACUUAAAGAGAAGAGGUGCUUUCUAUUGGAUGUUUCUAGAAGAAACAAUUAGUUCUGUGUGAGUUACAGGCCUAAAACAGUGUCUAAUACUUUAGAAAUGAGUCUCGGAAGAAGGGACAGCCUUUCUUCUGUCGGUGCCGCAGUAUAUCAGCAUUUGAAUGCUCUCCAUCGUAUGUGAGCAGCUCACCAGUAUCAUAAACUCAGCACCAUAACAAAUGAAAGAUACAAAGUUUAGAAAGCAGGAUGCUUCAUUGGAAAGGGAGAAAAAGGAGAAGAUAGAUAGCUGCCCUGACAAGAAUCAGGGCAGGGGGCUCCGGAAAGAUGGAGGACCUGUGGCCUUUGUUCUUGGCUGCUUUUAUUGGGUGCCAAGGACUCUUUGCCUACCUGGAACUUGCCAUAACCCAACUGGUUCCCUGGGCGGUCUUGGCAUUAGACUGAGCCCCCUUGCCUCCGUCAUUGUCAUUUCUUGGGGGGAGGGGUCCAUGUAACUUCUGUCUAUUUGUCCUUGAACAGUGUCUUAUCUCCAGGGUGGCAGGUGACUGGCUAGGAGGUGCAUAUUCAUGGUUAGUUUAGAGUUAGUAAGGGGAGGUGUGGGUCUCUGUUGUAGUAGUUAUAUAGUGGCCCUAGAGUGGAUACGAGUGUGUGUGUGUGUGUCUGUGUGUUAGUUCACCCCUGUAUACACUGAAUAGAGCUUUCCCCAGAGUUAGCCAGCCCCCUCCACCUUCUGCUUCCCCUGCAUUCUAUUGGAAGCAGAGAGGGACGGCUGGCCUUGGCUUUGUGCACUUGGCUUUCUCUGUCCUCUGCUUGUCAGCUCUUUCUCUGGUUUUGGGUGCAAGUUCCAAGGCCAUUUGGUGCCUUUCUUUUGAAGUGUUUUUUCUUUUCUCUACCCUUGAGCUUGAGACUGUUCUCAGGGGAAUUUUCCCAGUAAAGUUUUAACUCCUUCUAGUUAGGAUUAGCCAGAAAACCUAAUGAGCCCCCUAUUUUAUUCUUUCCCUGCCUACAGACCCCUUCCCCCUACACUGAUGGGUCACAAUCAGAGAUAUGCAAUGAGAAGACCCUGACAGGAAUCUUUCAAACUUAUUAAAAGCCAGGUGCAGAACUUCCCCACCGAGUUGGGGUUCUCCAGGGAACAUUAUCCAUGUCCCUUGGGGUUAUGAGUUUUGGUUUUCAGAAUGUAGCUUAUAUUUCUUUAGAAUGUUAAUGCCCUUAUCCUUCAUUUCACUUUUUCAGUCAAAAAAUGUAAAUAACAUAAGAAUUUAAUUUUGUUUCUCAUAUGUCAGCUUUUCUUUUUAGCUGAUCAUCAGCACAGUGGUACCUUGGUUCACAAACUUAAUUCUUUGCACAGUUCUGGUCAAAAACCAAAUUGGAUGAAAGCUAAUCAAAUUCUUUUUUCUUUUUUUUUUUUUUUGGCACGGGGGAUCGAACUCGGGACCUCAUGCUUACAAGGCAGGCGCCAGAACCACUGAGCUAAAUUCCCAGCCCCAGCUAAUCAAAUUCAAUGGUUAGGUCUAAUGUUGACCUGACCUUAUGGGGAAAUUUGAUUCAGUUCUCAUUCAAUUUACUUUACACCAGAAUUGUAGAAAGAAUUAAGUCUGUGUACUGAGGUACCACUGUAAUUUCUACUUGUAUUAAAAACUACAAGUUCACAUACCUGG
rnacentral:lncRNA from 1 species